rnacentral:rRNA from 1 species
UACGUAGGGACCGAGCGUUGUCCGGAAUCAUUGGGCGUAAAGAGCGUGUAGGCGGCUAUUUAAGUCCUGCGUGAAAUCCUGCGGCUCAACCGCAGACGGUCGUGGGAAACUGGAUGGCUAGAGUGCGGGAGAGGAGAGUGGAAUUCCCGGUGUAGCGGUGAAAUGCGCAGAUAUCAGGAGGAACACCGGUGGCGAAGGCGGGUCUCUGGGCCAAAACUGACGCUGAGGCGCGAAAGCGUGGGGAGCGAACAGG